GACGAACGCUGGCGGCGUGCUUAACACAUGCAAGUCGAACGGAAAGGCCUCAUUUUGCUUGUGUACUCGGGUGGCGAACGGGUGAGAAACACGUGGGUAAUCUGCCCUGCCCUCUGGGAUAAGCCUGGUAAACUGGGUCUACUACUGCUUAUGCCCUUUCUCACUGUGGGGUUUGGUGGAAAGUUGUUAGGUGUAGUAUGAGCGUGCGGCAUAUCGGCUUGUUGGUGGGGUGUGGUCCUACGAAGGCGACGACGGGUAGCGGGCCUGAGUGGUGGAUCGGCCACAUUGGGACUGAGAUAAGGCCAAGACUCCGACGGGAGGCAGCAGUGGGGAAUAGUGCACAAUGGGCGGAAGCCUGAUGCAGCGACGCCGCGUUAGGGAUGGCGGCCUUCUGUUUGUAAACCUCUUGCAGCAGGAACGAAGCGUAAGUGACGGUAGCGGCAGAAGAAGCACCGGCUAACUAUGUG
rnacentral:rRNA from 1 species